rnacentral:rRNA from 1 species
AUUGAACGCUGGCGGCAUGCCUAACACAUGCAAGUCGAGCGGACGAACGGAGAGCGCUCUCCUCUUCAGUUACCGACGGGCGGGUAAGUAAUAGGUACCUACCCGACCUAUAGGACUAGGGUAACGUCGCGGAACCUAAUCCCGCAUACGUCCAUAUGUUGAACGUCAUGGAUCAUAAGAGCUCGCGCUAUUUGAUGAGCCUAGGUCGGAUUAGCUAGUUGGUGUGGUAAAGGCUUACCAAGGCGACGAUCCGUAGCUGCCCUGAGAGGCUGAUCAGACACACUGGAACUGAGACACGGUCCAGACUCCUACGGGAGGCAGCAGUGGGGAAUAUUGGACAAUGGGCGAAAGCCUGAUCCAGCCAUGCCGCGUGUGUGAAGAAGGUCUUCGGAUUGUAAAGCUCUUUUAUUAGGGAAGAAGAGCAGUGUGUUAAUACCUGGCUGUCUUGACGUUACCUACAGAAUAAGCACCGGCUAACUUCGUG